GACAGAGGGUGCAAACGUUGUUCGGAAUUACUGCGCGUAAAGCGCAUGUAGGCGGCUCGGAAAGUCGGAUGUGAAAGCCCAGGGCUCAACCCUGGAAGUGCACUCGAAACUCCCGAGCUGGAGUCCCGGAGAGGAAGGCGGAAUUCUCGGUGUAGAGGUGAAAUUCGUAGAUAUCGAGAGGAACACCGGUGGCGAAGGCGGCCUUCUGGACAGUGACUGACGCUGAGACGCGAAAGCGUGGGGAGCAAACAGG
rnacentral:rRNA from 1 species